UCAGAUUGAACGCUGGCGGCAGGCCUAACACAUGCAAGUCGAGCGGUAACAUUUCUAAGCUUGCUUAGAAGAUGACGAGCGGCGGACGGGUGAGUAAUGCUUGGGGAUCUGCCUGAUGGCGGGGGACAACCACUGGAAACGGUGGCUAAUACCGCAUAAUACCUAUGGGUCAAAGUGUGGGACCUUCGGGCCACACGCCAUCAGAUGAACCCAAGUGAGAUUAGCUGGUUGGUAAGGUAACGGCUUACCAAGGCGACGAUCUCUAGCUGGUCUGAGAGGAUGAUCAGCCACACUGGGACUGAGACACGGCCCAGACUCCUACGGGAGGCAGCAGUGGGGAAUAUUGGACAAUGGGGGCAACCCUGAUCCAGCCAUGCCGCGUGUGUGAAGAAGGCCUUCGGGUUGUAAAGCACUUUCAGUGGUGAGGAAGGUGGUGUCGUUAAUAGCGGCAUCAAUUGACGUUAGCCACAGAAGAAGCACCGGCUAACUCCGUGCCAGCAGCCGCGGUAAUACGGAGGGUGCGAGCGUUAAUCGGAAUUACUGGGCGUAAAGCGCACGUAGGCGGUAUGUUAAGCAAGAUGUGAAAGCCCAGAGCUCAACUCUGGAAUAGCAUUUUGAACUGGCAUGCUAGAGUUUUGGAGAGGGUGGUAGAAUUUCCAGUGUAGCGGUGAAA
rnacentral:rRNA from 1 species